AUUGAACGCUGGCGGCAGGCUUAACACAUGCAAGUCGAGCGAGCGGCGGACGGGUGAGUAAUGCCUGGGAAACUGCCUGAUGGAGGGGGAUAACUACUGGAAACGGUAGCUAAUACCGCAUACCAUCGGAUGUGCCCAGAUGGGAUUAGCUAGUAGGUGGGGUAAUGGCUCACCUAGGCGACGAUCCCUAGCUGGUCUGAGAGGAUGACCAGCCACACUGGAACUGAGACACGGUCCAGACUCCUACGGGAGGCAGCAGUGGGGAAUAUUGCACAAUGGGCGCAACCCUGACGCAGCCAUGCCGCGUGUGUGAAGAAGGCCUUCGGGUUGUAAAGCACUUUCAGUGAGGAGGCGUUACUCGCAGAAGAAGCACCGGCUAACUCCGUGCCAGCCGCCGCGGUAAUAC
rnacentral:rRNA from 1 species